rnacentral:misc_RNA from 1 species
CAGGUAUUACGAAAGACGCCGAUCUCGAUGACUGCGCUGGGGCGGCCUCGCCUGCCUUCGAGAGGCCCGCCUUUCAAAGGCAGACGUCCGAGGUCAUCUCCGCCAUCGACGAACCGACGGAGAACAUCAAUCUUAGCUGGAACGCACCUGAGUUCUACAAGAGGUUGAAGCGCUUUCGGCGGACGCAACUUGAAUGUGAGUGACAGAUGACACUUGGAACCCUAACCGCUGGGCCAGCUGUCCCGAAGUGGUCAACCCUUCCCCGCAGACGCUGUCCACUCCCAAUCCUGGCGUUCGCUUCUACGUCGGAACCAGCCCUUCGGGUCAGAGCAUCAGCGACGAGGACGAGGAGGAACGAUACAAGACGUACCUCUACUAUCUGCUGAGCACCACGCGAAGCGCGAGCUCAGAGAUCCGCUUCCUAGAUCUCUUCCAGGAGGCCCAGGACAACAUCCGCGCCCUACCGCGGCAAGAGAGCAACUCGACGUUAGACGUCAUACUCUCCUCUCGGCAGCAGCUGUCCUACUCGCCCUCCAACUCAUCUGCCGUGGGCCAGCGGGCGUCCUGGUCUUCCGGUGGCGGCGACGAGUGCUUCAACCGAAGACGGCUCGUGCUUUACGCCCAAGAAGACGUCGGGGCCGGAAAAGCGUUGGCCCUCGGACACCAACACCACGCUUACU